ACCAGCAGCUAUAUCACCCUGCAACUCACAACUGGCAACCCACUGUGAGUGUGUGAGUCUGUGAGUGUGAGUCUGGUCAGUACCUGGAUGGGAGACCUCCUGGGAAAGCUAAGGUUGCUGCUGGAA
rnacentral:rRNA from 1 species